GGUGGCUCAGUGGUAGAGCGCUUGCCUUGCGUGCAUAAGACCCUGGGUUCAAUUCCUCAGCACCA
rnacentral:tRNA from 1 species